GAUGAACGCUGGCGGCGUGCCUAAUACAUGCAAGUCGAGCGAACAGACGAGGAGCUUGCUCCUCUAACGUUAGCGGCGGACGGGUGAGUAACACGUGGAUAACCUACCUAUAAGACUGGGAUAACUUCGGGAAACCGGAGCUAAUACCGGAUAAUAUAUUGAACCGCAUGGUUCAAUAGUGAAAGACGGUUUUGCUGUCACUUAUAGAUGGAUCCGCGCCGCAUUAGCUAGUUGGUAAGGUAACAGCUUACCAAGGCAACGAUGCGUAGCCGACCUGAGAGGGUGAUCGGCCACACUGGAACUGAGACACGGUCCAGACUCCUACGGGAGGCAGCAGUAGGGAAUCUUCCGCAAAGGGCGAAAGCCUGACGGAGCAACGCCGCGUGAGUGAUGAAGGUCUUCGGAUCGUAAAACUCUGUUAUUAGGGAAGAACAAAUGUGUAAGUAACUAUGCACGUCUUGACGGUACCUAAUCAGAAAGCCACGGCUAACUACGUG
rnacentral:rRNA from 1 species